rnacentral:rRNA from 1 species
AUUGAACGCUGGCGGCAGGCCUAACACAUGCAAGUCGAGCGGAGCGGCGGACGGGUGCGUAAUACCUAGGGAUCUGCCUGGUAGUGGGGGAUAACGAUCGGAAACGGACGCUAAUACCGCCUACUCUCAGAUGAUCACAGGUCGGAGUAGCUAGUGGGUGAGGUAAUGGCUCAUCAAGGCUACGAGCCGUAACUGGUCUGAGUGGAUGAUCAGUCACACUGGAACUACGACACGGUCCAGACGCCUACGGGAGGCAGCAGUGGGGAAUAUUGGACAAUGGGCGAAAGCCUGAUCCAGCCAUGCCGCGUGUGUGAAGAAGGUCUUCGGAUUGUAAAGCACUUUAAGUUGGGAGGCGUUACCGACAGAAUAAGCACCGGCUAACUCUGUGCCAGCAGCCGCGGUAAUAC